GUCCCCCGCUGGCUUAACGGCCUGACCUCUCCUGGGCAGCUGGGCUCACCCCCCUGCCGCCGCCCGCGGCCCGUCCGGCCACUGAUCGCGGUCUCCUCCACCCCGCUUCCGCCUCCAUGCUGCCGCGCUCGCCGCCGCCCGCGGCGGCGGGCGCCAUGGUGCCCGGCGUGGGCGGCGUCGAGCCGGCCGUGACGCUGGACCAGGUGCCGCGCUGGAGCGACCCGGACCAGCGCAUCUUCCCCGCCGCCUCCGCCUCCGGCGAGCCCUCCGAGGCGGAGAGCGGCGCGUCCGAGGAGCCCGCGGCGCUCGGCUUCCUCUCCUUCUCCGACCCGCUCACCGGCGACGACGCCGGCGGCGGGGGCCGCGGGGGCGCCUCGCGGUUCCCCGUCGACCAGGAGAUCAACUCCAGGAUCUACCUCUGGCGCGGCCACCCCUGGAACCUCGAGGUCGACGCCGUCGUCAAUUCCACCAACGAGAGCUUGGACGAGGCGCACAGUAGUCCUGGGUUGCACGCUGCAGCAGGGACAGGGCUUGCGGAGGAAUGCGCCACCUUGGGUGGAUGCCGAACCGGUAUGGCGAAGAUGACCAAUGCCUAUGAUCUGCCUGCAAGGAAGGUUAUCCAUACUGUGGGCCCCAAAUAUGCUGUCAAGUAUCACACAGCUGCCGAGAACGCACUUAGUCACUGUUACAGGUCCUGUAUGGAACUGCUAAUUGAGAAUGGUCUUGAAAGCAUCGCAAUGGGUUGCAUAUACACCGAAGCUAAAAACUACCCUCGUGAACCUGCUGCUCAUGUGGCAAUAAGAACUGUUAGACGUUUCCUUGAGAAACAAAAAGGCUAUGUAGCUGGUGUUGUGUUUUGUACUACAUCUUCAUCUGACACAGAGAUAUACAAACGAUUGCUCCCUCUAUAUUUCCCUCGGGACAAGCAGGAGGAAGAGAUUGCAAUAUCAAAACUCCCAGCUCAUGUCGGGGAUGAGAAUGGUGAGACAGUAAUUGAUGAAAGGAAAAUAAGAAUAAGACCUUUGCCUGCUGGUGCAAUAGACAGAACAGUGACUUCAACUCCUCUAGAUCUUCCUCUUUCUGAUCCUGGGUCGGCAUUGAAGAGGUGAAAUUUAAAAGUUCGACUUCAAUUUAUACAAUUCAAAUAUGUUUUGUUUUGGUGGUAGUGGUUUACCGUUUUUGUGCUUAAUAAUGAUUGUAUAUCUGCAUAUUUAUCGGCAUACAUUCCAUUGUCUUCACUGCCCUUAAUCUGAUGUUCUCCACCAACUGCAGUUAUCGUGGUGGAGUUGAUAUUGAAGGACGCCCAGUUAUGGUGGUUGUUGGUGCACACUUUCUUCUUCGUUGCCUUGAUCUUGAACGGUUUGUUCUACACGUAGUGAAGGAGUUUGAACCUCUGAUUCAGAAGCCUUAUACAAUUGUAUAUUUGCACUCUGCAGCAUCAUUACAACCGCAACCAGAUUUAGGAUUCAUGAAGCGAUUACAACAAAUACUAGGACGGAAACAUCAGCGCAAUCUUCAUGCAAUUUAUAUUCUCCACCCAUCAUUGGGAUUGAGAACCGCUGUUUUAGCAAUGCAGAUGUUUGUAGAUGGAGAGGUCUGGAAAAAAGUUGUAUAUGUGGAUAGGCUUGUGCAGUUGUUCAAAUACAUACCACGCGAGCAACUUACAAUGCCCGAUUUUGUCUUUCAGCAUGAUCUGGAGGUGAAUGGUGGGAAGGGCCUAAUCGUUGACCCAAGAACAAAGCACAUUUAUCAGAGGGCGUCCAGUUGAUGACUUGACGUGACAGUUCUGAGUUCUGAAGUUUAAUUAGUUUUUGCACUGUACCAUUCUGAUGUUCGCUUCUUGUAACUUUAUUCCAUGUUGAUGUUUCUUUCUGUAUCUAGUUAAGUUGGUCUAUUCCAUUCGUUCGUUUCUCUGCCUUCUCGCCUGUAUUUGUUGAUUUGUAUAACUGAAUAAAAGUAGUCUCAGUCUAGAUGUUUAAUCUUCAUUCAUCCUGUACAAACUUUGGCCGUCUUCCUCUCAUGGUGUCACAACUGCAGACUUGAAAUUGGAGUUUAUUUCAAGGUGUCACCA